GCGGGUGUUCGGCUACGUCACUGGGGCGCUACGGUUCCUGGAGCUGGGCAGUCUUCUCGUCAGAGUGGGGACUGGUAAGAGCGACCUCCCCGCCAGGUCCUGUGUGUUGCCGGCUGAAGAAGGGAUGAUGAUUAUUCCCCACCUUCUAAGAGACAAAGACCAACGAGCCACCACAGCCACCAGUCCCAGAACCCGCCAAUGCUGGGGAAUGGAAAAUGAGGGAGUUCAACUCUGGCCCUCACAAUCCAGUGGAGGAGACGAAACUCAUCUGCCUCUGUCCCUCUGGGCACACCUCAUGCCAGGUGCAUCUGUGGACAGGGGCCAUGCUCCUGGGCUUCCAAAGUUGGAGAAAGCUGCCAGGCUCAGACCCACCUAAGCUGAAGAUUCCCUUGAGAACAAGUACUGUCCUGUGGUUUCAUGGCCUUUCUUCCAUUUGUGGUUCUUGCGAAGUGGAAUUUAAAUGACAUCUUAUCAAGAUGGAUAAACCCUAGUUUCCCAGUGCUGGAAUAUAGAAAAUGGAUGGACAAGUAAAUCCCACUCAGUACCCAUAGGCCAGGCAUGGGGACCUCAACACACCUGAGCCCCAGACAUCACCUUUCAUUCUGGACCUACCAUGAAAGACUUCUGAAUCCAGGAAGAGAAACUGACUGGGCAACAUGUUAUUCAGAAACAGGACCUUGCCCUGUCACUCAGGAUGGAGUUCAGUGGUCCUAUCAUGGCUCAUUAUAGCCUCAAACUCCCAGGCUCAAGCAAUCCUACCAUGUCAGCCUUCCCAGUAGCUGGGACUACAGCUGGAUCUACCAUGAAAGACUUCUGAAUCCAGGAAGAGAGACUGACUGGGCAACAUGUUAUUCAGGGUCUCCCUCUGUUGUCCAAGGCUGGAGUGUAGUAGUGCUAUCACAGCUGACUGCAGCCUCAACCUUCCAGGCUGAAGUGAUUCUCCCAUCUCAACCUCCCACGUGGCUGAGACUACAGGUGCUUGCCACCAUGCCCAACUAAUAUUUGGAAUUUUCAUAUAAGUGGAUUCCAGAGGGGUGACAGCAAAACGUGGGACCAUCCAGUUGCAGGAAAACAAGCUUAACACGCCCACUGAUUUUACAUUAUGCUCCUACCACCCGGCAGCCUCUCCAGGCCCAGAACUUUCUCCAGUCAGCCUCUACAGACCAAGCUCAUGACUCACAAUGGCCUAUUUAGGCCCAUACCCUACCUCACGGCAGUCUCCGCAGAUGAGCCUACUGCCUCACAACAGCCUCCACAGGCACAGCUCCAUCAUUACAAUGGCCUCUUUAGACCCAGCUCCUGCCUCCCAGCCUUCUCUCCAGGCCCUGAACUUUCUGAAGUCGACCUCACCAGGCCCAGCUCAUGCUUCUUUGCAGCCUCUCCAGGCCCAGCUCCUGCAUCUUGGUGGCCCCUCCAGGCCCAGCCUCUGCCUCCCGUCGGCCUCUACAGUCCCAACAUCUGCCUCAUAGCAGAUUCUUGAGGCCCAGCAUCUGCCUCACUGUGGACCCCCCAAGCCAAGCUCCCAACCUUUCAGCAGCUUCUACACACCCAGCUCCUGCCACCCAGUGGCCUCUUUAGGCCAAGCUCAUGCUUCACAAGGGCCUUUCCAGGCCCAACUUUCGUCUCAUGGCAACCUUCCCUGGCCAGAUUCCUGCGUGUCUCCCAGCAGCCUAGACAGGCCCAGGUCUUGCCUCACACUGGCCUCUCUACAUCCAGCUCAUGCCUCACGGUGACCUCUCCAGGCACAGCUCCUGUCCCAGAACGUCAUCUCCGGGCCCAAAACUUACUCAAGUCAGCCUCUCUAGUCCCAACUGCUGCCUCCUGGUGGCCUAUGAAGGCCCAAAAUCUCCUCAAGUUGACCUCUCCCGGCCCAGCUCCUGCCUCCUGUCAGCAUCUACAGGCCCAACCUCUGCCUCAUGGGGGCUUCUCCGGGCCCAGCUCUUCCUAUUGGCUGAGUCUACAGGCACAACUGCUGCCUCACAACAGCCUUUUUUGGCCCAGUUCCUGUCCAGUUCAUGGCGGCCAAUGUAGGCCCAAAACUUCCUCAGGUCAUACUCUCCAGGCCCACCUUCUGCUUCCUGGUGGCAUGAACAGGCCCAGCUUUGACUUGAGAACAGCCUCUGCAGGCCCUGCUCUUGCCUCCCAGGGGCUUUUCCAAGCCCAGCUCUUGCCUCAUGGCAGCUGCCCCAGGCCAAAUUUCUUCCUGCCUGCCAGCAGCCUCAACAGGCACAGCUCCUCCCUCACAGUGGCCCAUUUAGGCCCCACUCAUGACUGUCGGGCCAUUUCCAGGCCUAGUGCCUGCCUCCUGGCUGACUCUUUCUUGAAGCCCAAAACUUCCUCAAAUCAGCCUUUUGCCUAACUUCUGUCUACUGUCGGACUCUACAGGCCAGCCUCUGCCUCACAGUGGACCCUCCAGACCCAGAUGGUGUCUCACUGUGGCAUCCUCAGGCGAAGCUCCUGCCUUUCGGCAGCCUCUACAGGCCCAGCUCCUGCCUUGCAGUGGCCUCUUUAGGCCAAGCUCAUGCCGCAUGGCGACUUUUCCAGGCACAGCUUUUGCCUUUUGCAGCCUGUCCAGGCCCAGAAUGUCCUUAACUCGGCAUCUCCAGGACGAGCUUAUCCUCCCAGUGCGUCUACAGGCCCGUCUCCUGCCUCACAACAACCUCUUUUGGCCCAACUCCUGCUGAGCUGCUGGCAGCCUCUGUAGGCCACAGACUUCUUAAAGUAAAGCUUUCCAGCCACCUUCGGCCUCCCAGCAGCCUCAGCAAUCAAACUAUUCCCUCACUGCGGCCACCGAAAGCCAAGUUUCUCCCUGCCUCAUGGCAUCCUCCGAAAACUGAGCAUUUGCCUCACGGUGGCCUCCCCAGGCCACGAAUCUGCCUGCCUCCCAGGCAGGUGCUGCCUCACAAUGGUCUCUUUAGGCCCAGCUCAUGCUAAAAGAUGGACUCUCCAGGUACAGCUCUUGCCUCCUGGCAGCCUCUGCAGGCCCAAAUUCUCCAAAAGUUGGCCUCUCCUAACUCAGCUCCUGCCUCAUGUCGGCCUACACAGGCCCAGACUCUUACCACACAGUAGACCCUCCAGGCCCACCACUUGCCUGAUCAUAGCCUCCUAAGGCCAAGCUCCUGCCUUUCAGCAGCCUCUACAGGCCCAGCUCCUGCCUCGCAAUUGCCUUUGUAGGCCAAGAUCAUGCCGCGAAGUGGCCUUUCCUAGCCUAACUUUUGCUUUUUGACGCAUACUCCAGUCCCAAAACUUCCUCCAGUCAGCCGGUCCAGGCCAAGCUCUUCCUCCCAAAGGCUUCUGCAGGCCAAAAUCAUCCUGAAGUCACCCUCUGCAGGCCCAGCUCCUGCCUCCAAGUGCUGUGUAGGCCAAGCUAAUGCCUCACAGCACACUUUCCAGGCUGAGCGUUUCCUUUUGUGCAUCCUCUCCAAGCCCUGAACUUACUCCACUUGGCCUCUCCAGACCAAGCUCUCCCUCCCAGUGGCCUCUACAGGCCAAAAUUGUCCUCAGGUCUGCCUCUCCAGGGCCACCUCUUAGCUACCAGUGGCUUCUGCUGGCCAAAAUCGACCUCAAGUCAGCCUCUUCACACCCAGCUCUUGCCUCUGAGUGGCCUCUCCAGGAGCAAAACUUUCUCAAGUCGGCCUCUCCAGGCCCAGCCUCCUGCUUCCCGAGGGCAUGUACAGGCCCAGCCUCUGCCUCACAGCAGACUCUCCACACCCAGCUCUUCCCUGUCUGCGGCCUCUCCAGUCCAAAGCUGCUGCUGCCUUUUGGCAGCUUGUACAGGCUCAGCUCCUCCCUCACGGUGGCCUCUUUCAGCCCAACUCAUGCCUCUUGCAACCUGCCCAAGUGUCAGCUCCUGUCUCACACUGGCCUGUUGAGGGCCAGCUCAUGCCUCUCGUGGCCUCAACAGGCCCAUCCCCUGCCUGUCGGCGGCCUCUACAGGCCCGGCCUCUACCUCACAGUGGGCUCUCCAGGCCCACCUCUUCCUCACCGUGGCCUCCUGGGGCAAUGCUCCUCCCUCUCGGGAGCCUCUGCGGGCCCAGCUCCUGCCUCCCAGUGGCCUCUGUAGACCAAGCCCGUGCCUCAGGGCAGCCUUUCCAGGCCUAGCGUUUGCUGCUUUGCAUCCUCUCCAGGCCCUGGACUUCCUCCAGUCGGCCUCUCCAGGCCCAGCUCUUCCUCUCGGCGGCCUCUGCAGGGCCAGACUGUCGUCAAGUCGGCCUGUCCAGGGCCAGCUCCUGCCUCCCGGCGGCCUCUGCAGGCCCAAGUCGUUCUCAAGUCGGCUUCCCCAGGCCCAGCUCCGGCCUCUUGGCGGCCUCUCCGGGUGCAAAAGUUCCUCGAGUCAGCCUCUCCAGGCCCAGCUCCUCCUGCCUCCCAGUGGCCUCUUUCGGCCCAGCCCAGCUCUUCCUCCCGGCUGCGUCUCCAGGCCCGACUUUGGCCUCCCAACAACGUCUUUGGACUCAGCUCCUGCCUCUCAAAGGCCUGCACGGGCCCGGCCUCGGCCUCGGCCUCACAGCGGACUCUCCACGCCCAGCUAGCUCUCGCCUCACUGUGGCCUCCCCAGUCCAAAGCUCCUGCCUUUCGGCCACUUCAGCAGGUCCAGCUCCUGCCUGCCAGUGGCCUCUUUAGGCCCAGCUCAUUCCUCACAACGGCCUUCCCAGGCCCCGUUUUUCCCUUCCGGCAGCCUCUUGGCCUCUAAUUUGUUUAUCUUUUGUGUAUAAAUCCCAAAAUAUGGAAUUUUGGAAUAUUUCCACCAUU
rnacentral:lncRNA from 1 species